AGCUGCAGCUAAUUAAGGCAGGUGGACGACAGAGUGAGGAGUGGAGAAAGAGGAGGUCUCUGAUUCAGUUUGACGUAAUGUUUACUUUAAAAUUGUGACAACUAAACCCGACUGGCUUUGAAUCCAAGAACUAGCUGGACUUGUGGACAUUUCUGGUCAAUGAGGAGCUGCUGACUAUGAUUUAAUCCUAGGAGAAGAGUUGGAGGUAGUUUGUUCAGCUGCCUCUUCGGCCUGCUUGGACAGUGGUGGAUGUCUGUGUCUCUGUUGGAUCCUGGUUAAGACAAGCAAACCUGACUGUGGUGCACGUAGCCUUUGGUCCAAUGCAUGCUGGGAUAGAAACCAACCUCCUGCAACCCUGACCAGCAUCUAAUUCCAGAUCUGUGGGAGGAUGGACACUGAUUUGUGCAACAAGGCCUUUCUCCCAGAUUGUUCCGGUUUAUGCCAAAGGAGCUGGAUUUGUCUGGGGCGCAGGCCAGACAGGUUCUUCCACAUCAAACUGG
ensembl:lncRNA